rnacentral:misc_RNA from 1 species
GAAAUUUUGAACAAACUGCUGAAAUAGCAAUACUGGAAAGGGAAUUAUGAAUUUUGUAUAGCCAUAUCAUAAUAACCUCUGAGCAGCUCAAGCUAAAUAUGUUUGGAAUCACAAGGCAAAGGAUUUGCCCAGAAAAGAAAAUUGAACAAGCAUUAAUUUUAAGCCAUGAUAGAAUGUUCUUCUUGAAUAUUUUUAUUAACUACAUUAGUGACCACAUUAAAUAAUAGAUCAAAAUGGGUAGAAGGAAAUAAUUAAUUACUGCAAAUAUUCUUCAAGAUAAUUAAGAAUAUAUAAAUAUAACAGUACUGCAUACCUCCAUUUUCAGAAUUGCCAGUAACCACUGCCACUACUUAAUCAGAGAUAUCAACUUGCAGUUGGAGACAAUAAGAAGCUAAAAUACAGAUUGCAGAUAGGUACACAGAAUUCUCUGUGAAAUAAACUCCUAUUUAUUCAUAAUCAAAUAUAACUUUUUAAAUUUUGAAAGAAGAAAAAAAAAAUCCAUAGCAAGAAUCCCCAACAAAUAAACCAAUCCCCUAAUUCAUCACUAAAAAAAUAUUUAACUAGGAAAAAAAAAAUUAACCAAAAGAAAUUAAAUGGCCUAAAAGAUCAAGAAGAGAGAUGACCCUGAUAAGAAGAAGAUGAUGAUGAUGAUU